CGGCGGUCUCGGCCGGGAGCACGGCGGCCAGGCGGCGGAGGUUGGCCUCGUAGGUGCUGUUGGCCUUGUAAACUCGAAGCUCGGAAUCCAUGGCCAGAUGCACGGGGAGACGGAUGCUGGGAGCGGACGGGCUGAACGAUUUCCCAGAUAGACCGGGCCACAUGGGCUUAAAUGGGCCGGACGCCUGGUAGAGCGACCAAAUCUAGAAGCUGCCGUGCCGAACGAUUUCUCAGUCGCCACAUGAAGUGAGAAGCCACACCAGAAGCCAGAUUUGAGAAGUUUUAGAGAAGCCGGGAGGGUUCCACCAGUGCCGGUACGGGUACCUGAACGUGUCUGACCUCGAGGGUGUGGUGGCCGGCUACGCGAAGGCCAGGAUCCCGGAGGUGAUGUGGACGAACAUCGACUACCCUGAACCGCCUUCGCGGAGCUCCGGCCGUUCGUCGACCGGCUUCACCGGAACGGCCAGAAAUACGUUGUCAUCCUAGACCCAGGUGAAAUCAGAGGAAACGUGUACAGUGGUAAACCAGCAAUUUAAAAGCGACGCAGGGCGCAGGCUUAGACUUGCUUUCCGGCGGUAUUCGUUCAACUGGAGAACCGUACCAGUCGACUAAAGAUGAGCCUGUGCUGACUUCGUCAAGAUCACAUGUAGAUUCAGUCUCUCAGAACUGCUCAUAGGAAUAGGGUGUGCGUGCGUGCGUUUAUAGGGACAAGUGUGAAUGCGUAUGUAUGAGUGUCUACGUCUAUACUAUGUUAAAAAUAUUCAUAUGCUUUUAGGGUUUUAGGGUAAAGUUUUUGAAACUUGCUAAAUUUAUCAAAGUUCAUAUCAAGUUUUAGUAGUUGAAA